ensembl:lncRNA
UUCUGAACGUUUGUUGGGUGAAACUAACCAAUUAAGCUCUAUUUGUUUUGCCUGUUCAGGGCUCCAGAAGCAUUAGAAUGAUGCCGAGUAGGCCUGCUCCAGACCUGUCUCACAUUGCACACAUCUUUGUUCACUCUCCCGUCUGUAGUAUUCAGGCUGUAAAUAGAUUGUUUGUGUUGGUCUUUCGCUUUGGAAUGAGUUAAAUGGAGCCAGUUCAACUGCCUAAGGUCCUAUGUCAGGACACAUUUUUCUCUCUCUUUUCUCUAUCUCUCCCUUUCAUACACACAUACACACACACACACACACAAACACACACACACACACACACACACACACACACACAGAUAAACACACACACACAUACACACACACACACACACACACACACUCUAUCUCUUCCUCCGUUACACACAUGCAUCAAGCUUUCUGUUUUGAUGUGGAAUUGGCUUGUCAGGUCACACAUUUUAUUUAUUGUUUAAUCCUGUUGAUUCUGUGUGCUGUUGGGGUAUCACAAUAAAUCUGGGCUUCUGAAGAUCAAAGGCAAAAAACAGAAGCUGGAGGGUAUUACAAAUAAAUGACGGAAAUUAAAUGUGCUCCCUCACUCCUCUCUCCUGCUCUCUCACUCCUCACUCUCUCCUUUCUCUCCCUCUCUCCUGCCCUCUUUCCCUCUUACACACACACACACACUCAGGCACGCAUGCACACACACAAAAAUGAUUAAAAGUACUUGGUAUACUGUUUACUCUUUUUGCUUAGGAGACUUUCUGUAGAAUUUACCCAUGACAUUGCCAUGGCGACCAAUACAAAGAUCACUGAAGACACUUCACUGAAGACUAGACCCCUUAAUUUCUCCUUCCUCCGGAUAAAAACCUCAUGUCAGAUAAUAGCACUCUAUCUUCUCUAUUAAAAAAACAUCCUAUAGCAACACAACAGCACAAUGUUGACAGGGGAAAUGUAUGAAUAGGAGGCACUUAUCUGCACCUGUAUCUAUGAUAUAGCCACACUCAGAAAGACAUAACAUACUUAUGAUUUGGCCACACUCAGAAAAACACAACAUACCUAAGAUCUAGCCAUACUCAGAAAAACACAACAUACCUAAGAUCUAGCCACACUCAGAAGGACAUAACAUACAUAAGAUCUAGCCACACUCAGAAGGACACAACAUACAUAAGAUCUAGCCACACUCAGAAGGACAUAACAUACAUAAGAUCUAGCCACACUCAGAAGGACACAACAUACAUAAGAUCUAGCCACACUCAGAAGGACACAACAUACAUAAGAUCUAGCCACACUCAGAAGGACACAACAUACAUAAGAUCUAGCCACACUCAGAAGGACACAACAUACCUAAGAUUUAUCCACACUCGGGAAGCAGCCAUCCCUGUAUGGAGAGACAUGCCCCGGG